AAUGUAAACUCUAUUAAAGGACUUGGGAGGCGAUUCAUUUUCUGUUUUCUGGAAAAUGCAGCUGAAACUUUACAAAAUUUGAGUGGAAGCAGCUACGAGGAGAAAUUCCUGUUUAACUAGUCGGUCCAGAAGCGGAAGUUUUGGAAGUGUGGCAGAACAAAAUCGAGAACGCUUUUCAGAUCCAGCUUUCGCAAAACACUUUUC